UACGUAGGUGGCAAGCGUUGUCCGGAUUUACUGGGCGUAAAGGGCGUGCAGGCGGUUUGUUUAGUCCAGGGUGAAAGCUCCCGGCUCAACUGGGAGAGGUCCUUGGAUACUGGCAGACUUGAGGGAGGUAGAGGAGAGUGGAAUUCCCGGUGUAGUGGUGAUAUGCGUAGAUAUCGGGAGGGACACCAGUGGCGAAGGCGGCUCUCUGGGCCUUACCUGACGCUGAGACGCGAAAGCGUGGGGAGCGAACCGG
rnacentral:rRNA from 1 species